GCGUCGGUGAUGCAACGGUUCAGCAAGCGCUCUCGAAAAAGAGUGGCAUCUGGGUUCGAAUCCCGGCUGACACA